rnacentral:lncRNA from 1 species
AAAGGAUAUAAUGUCAACAGAUCUUUUAUAAUUACCACUGCAUCCCUUGUCACACUGUCUGGUGCACCUCUACACUGGAGAUCGGUGUCUGUCUUGACUUGUGUACAUGACACAUAUAAUCACUCAGAGUGCACCUGCUUUAAAUGAGAAAGUUUCAAAAUGUUAUUUUGUUGUCAUGAGAAGAAGCAGAAUUACUCAAUAAAGAUGAAGUAGGAAUAGCACAAACACAGUCCAGGUAAAUAGCUUUAACUUGAUUGUAAAGCGAAGCGGCAAAAAGAAAAAAAAAGAGUAUGUCAGUUCAUCGGAUUGCAGCAUAAUUCUAAGAAUUCUGCCUUACACAUAUUCUGAUUCUGUGAUAUAGUUCUAAGAAUUCUUCUCUAUAUAGCUCCUUAUUCUGUGUCGUAGAAUCAGAAAGUACAUCUACACAGUUUUUUAAGAGUUGUUUUCUAGAACUUACUUUCCCUUUGAGGUAAACAAUUGAAUCAAACAGAUGGUGUCUAACUUAUUCCCAGUGCAAUGCUAAGUAAGGAAAAUACAGAAUUUCAAUAUAAUAAUUCUGCUCAAAAUACAAUAAUUUUGAGAACAUAAGAAUAAAAUGUAUCAAAUACCUUCGUAUAUUUUUAAAUUAUUUCUUUUUGUGGAGGGACUUAAUUAUUUUACAUUUUUAAGUGAGAUCCUUGAAGUAAUAUUUGCAGGAAGUAUAAGUUAACUGGGCAGAAUUUUAUCCAAUUAGUGUGUUGAUUUAGAAUGGAAAAAAGGCAGAUGAGAAUAAAGGAGUUUUCCAGAUUUCAUGUGGUAUAGUAUAGUCCCAGAAAUUAUUCCCCAGGGUUCUUCUCUUUUGUUCUUCCAGGAGAUACUACCCAACUUCUUUCUGUGUUUUCCAUGUAAAAUGUAAGUAGUAGAAUACAAAAGCAAUGACUCUUGGUUUACGAAUUCAUUUUACAGUAGAUUCCCAGGGUUUGGGGAAUGAGAAAGGGGUAAGGGGUGAAGGACUAGAUAUUUUUCAAACUUAGUUAUGAACAACAUUUUAUAAUUUAUUUUGAUUAAAAAAUUGAGAAGAGAGGCAGGUAUGGCAGCUCACAUCUGUAAUCCCAGCACUUUGGGAGGACAAGGCAGGAGGAUUCCUUGAGGCCAGGAGUUCAAGAACAGCCUGAGCAACCCUGGGAGGUUCUGCCUCUACCAAAAAAUAAAAAA